CGAUAGACUGGUCAUGAUAGCUCAGUUAGAGCACCUGUCUAGUAGUACACGGGUCUCGAUAGACUGGUCAUGGUAGCUCAGUUAGAGCACCUGUCUAGUAAUACACGGGUCUCGAUAGACUGGUCAUGGUAGCUCAGUUAGAGCACCUGUCUAGUAAUACAAGGGUCUCGAUAGACUGGUCAUGGUAGCUCAGUGAUUACAACACCUGACUAGUUGUAUAGGGGUCUUGGAUUCAAUUCUAAAUCAAACGAAAUACACAAUGUAAUAGACUGGACUCUAGUUCUGAAUUACAAACAGUUCGGUUUGAUAUGAAUACACUUUGUCUGUGUUGAUUUUGUAGGACUGUGGAGUGUCGUGAUGUUAUUGAUGGUCAACAGAAGACUGUGACCUUGAAUCUGAAGAUCUGUGAUGAAGACCGGACGUUUGGGGUCACUCUCUGUUACAGUACUACAAAUCUAAGAAAGUACUCAGUAAUAAUCAGUGUGAUACUCAGCCACAAAGAGGUUGUCUCUGAUGUCCACACAUAAACCUACUGGAAGUUCUAAAUGACAGUGAAUGUAACGGAGGAACUGUCCGUCCUGAUCUAGGAUGUGGAUACUCUGAGUGUUAAUGUCUGCUGUCAGGAUGUGACUCUGGCUGUCUGUAGUGAUGCCGACUGGAUAAAAUGAUUGCUCGGUAUUAGAGGGAUGACCAUUGUAUCUAAAUCGGAGUUUUCCUGACUGAUUGACCACCACUACUGCUCUAGCUGUAUUGUCAGCCACACAGAUAUCCAGGUUCUUGUUCUCACUGAGGUAUUUAAUGUUUCCACCCGAUGAGUAGAGAGGACGACCCUGAUCAUCAAACUGAAUGCUUUGUUUCUCUGUGGAGCCGGAGUAAUGCACGACUUUGGAUUGUUCUCCAUCAUCACUGUCCAUGGUAACCAGGAGGUCGUUAGCCGCGGUACAGCAGACAUAGAGAGGUCCCCACCCCUGUAGUGUGAUCACGAUUGCGUUGAGUGGAACAAUGAACCUCCGGAUAUCUAUGUACAUUUACACGUGUAGGAUUAAACUUCUGUUGCACUCGCGCAUGCGAGCUUCUCCUAUAUUGGGUGUUUGCGUUUUAUUUCAUGAAUAGUUUAGGAAUAUACUGUCCGCUCAAUAUCUUGAGAAUCCUUUGCUUGACAGACAUUAAACCUGGUACACUGGUGCAUCUUGAGGAGAAG